rnacentral:snRNA from 1 species
AGCUUUGCGCAGUGAUAGUAUUAUAGCCAAUGAGAUUUGUCUAAGGCGCAAUUAUUGCUAAUUGAAAAAAAUUUUGUGUAAUCUCACAGCAUAAAAUAAUCCAAAUAUGUAGUUUAAGUAGUCUAGUCGACU